rnacentral:rRNA from 1 species
GACGAACGCUGGCGGCGUGCUUAACACAUGCAAGUCGAACGGAAAGGCCCUGCUUUUGUGGGGUGCUCGGGUGGCGAACGGGUGAGUAACACGUGAGUAACCUGCCCUUGACUUUGGGAUAACUUCAGGAAACUGGGGCUAAUACCGGAUAGGAGCUCCUGCUGCAUGGUGGGGGUUGGAAAGUUUCGGCGGUUGGGGAUGGACUCGCGGCUUAUCAGCUUGUUGGUGGGGUGGUGGCUUACCAAGGCUUUGACGGGUAGCCGGCCUGAGAGGGUGACCGGCCACAUUGGGACUGAGAUACGGCCCAGACUCCUACGGGAGGCAGCAGUGGGGAAUAUUGCACAAUGGGCGGAAGCCUGAUGCAGCAACGCCGCGUGCGGGAUGACGGCCUUCGGGUUGUAAACCGCUUUCGCCUGUGACGAAGCGUGAGUGACGGUAAUGGGUAAAGAAGCACCGGCUAACUACGUG